CGGUUCCCCGGCGGGGUAGGGCGGGGCGGGGCUUCGGGUCAGCUGACUCAGGCUUUGGAGACAGAACCGAGAAGCUGGAUCCGGCGGUGGCCUCUGACGUGCAGCCAUGGUCUGGAAGAAACUGAGCUCUGGCAACUUCUCCACCUGCCCCAAUGGUUCCCUCCAGUGGAUAUGGGAUGUGUUUGGCGAAUGUGCCCAGGAUGGCUGGGAUGAGGCCAGCGUGGGGCUGGGCUUGAUCUCCAUUCUCUGCUUUGCUGCAGCCACCUUCCCCCAGUACAUCAAGGCCUGCAAAGCGGGCAACAUGGACCAGGCCCUGUCUCUGUGGUUCCUCCUGGGCUGGAUCGGCGGAGACUCCUGCAACCUCAUCGGCUCCUUCCUUGCUGACCAGCUGCCCCUGCAGACCUACACGGCGGUGUAUUACGUCUUGGCGGACCUGCUCAUGCUGUCGCUGUACUUCCAUUACAAGUUUAAGAAGCGCCCCUCCCUGUUGUCUGCCCCCAUCAAUUCUGUGCUCUUGUUCACCGUGGCGAUGGUGUGUAUCACGCCGCUGCUGAGCAGCGCUGGCCCUGCGGCUGCCCCGAGGGAGGUCUUCCGGGCUCGGACGCUCCUGUCUGUGGAGCCGGCCAGUAAGCCCUUCACUCGGCAGGAGAUCCUCGGCUUCGUCAUCGGCUCCGUCUCCAGCGUGCUCUACCUGCUUUCUCGGCUGCCUCAGAUCCGAACCAACUUCCUGCGGAAGUCGACCCAGGGCAUCUCCUACUUGCUGUUCGCGUUGGUGAUGCUGGGGAACACGCUGUAUGGGCUUAGUGUGCUGCUCAAAAACCCUGAAGUGGGCCAGAGUGAGGGCAGCUACCUUCUGCACCACCUGCCCUGGCUUGUGGGUAGCCUGGGUGUCCUGCUGCUUGACACCAUCAUCUCCAUACAGUUCCUGGUGUACAGGAACACCUCCACUGCCUCAGAGCGCCAGUCCCUUCUCCCCCGCUGACCAGACCAGGUCAGGCCCAGGACGGAUGACCGGGACUUCAGGGGCCACACCCCGAAUGGGGAAGUGUGGGCAGUAUGGUGCUGCUGCCCCUGGCCUGGGCCGUGGAGGAAGCUGGGGUCGGGGGGCCUAGACCUCUGAGCCCAGCCUCCACCCUCCAUGCCUCUGAAACCUCCUGGGCUGACUCCUCCAGGAGCCCGGACUGACUCUUUUGGGAGCAAGACGGCCCCCAGGGCUAGACCCCCCUCCCCCCAGUCCCCCAUUUGGGAUGCACCUUCCAGGAUCUGAAGCAGCUAUGCCUGGGAGCUUCGGGGAGGGGCUGCAGCUCAAUACUCGGUGUCUCAGGAGACAGUGCGGCUGCCCCUCGGCUCAUCUACCUCAUCUGCUGCUCACCCCUGGGAGGGGCAUGGCUGUGACUGGACACACCCUGGGCUGUCCUGUUGGCUGCAGACAGCCUAGGAACGGUACCUCCCAGCGAAGCCCGUUUCUGCUGCUCUUUCCCCCGGGUGCUGGGGUCCAGGCUGCUCUGGGGAUCAGUAGUGGAUGGGGAGUGGGGCCGUACCUUCUGGUCCCAGGUGGGGCCUACAGGCUCAGGAUGUGGGCGAGCUGAGCAGGAAGGGACUGUGUCUGCUGACCAGCCUCCCAGGGGCCUCCAGCCUGCUGUGUGACAGACCCCACACCUGGUGGGGGGGACACAGCAGCAAGCAUGACACUCCCCACCGGGGGCCCUGCACCUCUCGCUCUGAAAGCAGCAGAAUAGUUGAGGUUCAGGUCUUGGAUCUGCAUCUUAGCUUCUCUGUGCCUCAGUUGGCUUGUCUGGGAAAGGGGAUGACAAUACUGUCACUUCGUCCAUCCUUGUCAGAUGGCAUGAUUACAGUGGUUAGCCCCAAAGGCUGGCAUGCAGUAAGCUCAGUGAGGUGUGGUAUUUUUAGUUGGAGGACAGGGACAUCCAGAUCUCCCUGGAGACCAGGGAGGCCUUCCCAGAGAAGGCGAUGUGGCAGAGAAGUGGGCAGGAGGUGACCAGGGGGAAAGGUGGGAAAUUUUGCAGGCAGGAGGGAAAGGAAGCUUAAGAGCAGGUGGCAGAGGACAGGGCUCAGCCCUGAGCUCUAGUUCCUGGGCCCCAGACUCUGUUCUGAGUCCACCUUCUUGCUGGCCAUGACCCUGUGGGUGCCUGAAGACAGUGUGGCCAGGUCCCGGGAGCCACCUGCGUGAGCUGGUGCCAGGUGAGGCUGAGGGCUUGUCUAGGAGAGAAACUGUGUCUCAGCUUUUCAAAAUUUUACUUUUCCCAUCCCAGAGAAAGGAAGGAGCCUGGCAGUGGGACUGCAGCCUUCACUGUGAGGGCCACCAUGGGCCACAAACCCUUGCCCUCAAUUUGGGGAAGCAGUUGCUGGCCCCAGUGGUAAGGGUUGUGACCCUGAAGGUAGAAAGUGCCAUGGGAAGGAAUUAUGACCAGCCUGGGACACUCAACCAGGGAAAGCUUCAUGGAGGAGUGGCCCUGGAGCUGACCUUGAAAGCAGAGGGAGGUCAGAAAAGGCAAAGGCCUGGGCGUAGGAGUCCGGGCUGUCCCAAAGUAGCACCACUGAGAAGAGCCUUGGAAACCAGGCUAAGGACAGGGUCCUGGGUGCAGGGCCAGCCCAAAGCUGCUCACGGCAGGUGACUGGGUUUGGCUGGAGGGAGAGAAGGGAAUCAGGGUCUGGGGAAACCAGGGAGGGGGCACCUCUGGGGUUGAGGUGGUCAGUGAGAACAAAUAGAGCCAAUCUCUGUCACCCGUGUCCUAGGGCAGGCCCACAUGUGCCCUGGCAUGCAGCUGACUUUAUUGAGCACCUGUGUGCUGGGCUAGGCAUGCUCUCAUUUGGGCCUCACAACCCCUUUUGCGGGAGGUGCUGUUAUAGCCAUUUUACAGGUGGAAAAACAGGUGCUCAGGAAUCAAGCAACUUGCCUAAGGUUGUCCUCGAAUGAAAUGCCUCCCGUGAUGCCUGGCACCAGGGCUCCCAGAUCCAGGGGGCACAGGAAGAGCUGGCUAGCAAGCAGGUGCAUUCCGCGACAAAGCAGAAGGAAUGGCCCUGUGGCCACAGGGCUCCAUCCCCAGCACUGUCCCAGGCCCUCUUGGCAAGGGUUCUUCAGCGAACUGGGGGUUUUGGAGCCACUGGACUACAUGGCCUUUGGACCCCAAAGCUGAAAAAGGGGAAACCCACAACCCACCCUUCUCUUCACCCCUUCUACUGUUGGCCUUGAUUUUCAUCACUGCUGGAUGACGGGACCGAGAGGUUCCUGGGUACAGCCAGGCGCUAGUCCCAAUUGUCCCGCACAUAGAGGUGCUAAGUUGGUUGAGGUAAUGUUAGCUCCAGAUUAACUCAACUGGUAACUACUGAUAGAUCCCCCAGCCCUGGGACACCCCGAGGACACAGACACUCACUGGUAGCUCUGCCCAGCACAUGUUAAGUGCUCAGUAAAGAUUCCUGUCGUAUCAGCGAGAACUUUCCCACGCCCACCAGGCAGCAUGGGCAGGGCCUUCCAUCCUGCUCCCUGGUACACAGUAGGUGCUCAGUAACUGUUCGGUGAAUGAAUGAACAAGUGAAUGCCUAGAACACUGUCCCUUGAGGGGACAGGCUCUAACAACGUGUACACUUGAAAUGGGGGAAUUGUAUGGUAUGUGUGUAUCCCAAUAAAGCUAUUUGAAAAAAAUAUCAAAUUAGCUAUUAAAAUGUGAAUAGGAAGUUAUGGAUAAUGAGACUAUAUUACAUCUUUAUAGUCAUUUCUACUCAUAACAAAGUAAUCAGAAUGAGGACCUGUGGCCAGUCAGAUGCGGGAGAGAAGUAAAGGGAUUUCAUUCACUAGGCCAAAUAUAUAAUAUAUAUGAUCUCAUCUCUUCAUUCUAUAGUGUUUAUUGAGCACUUAAACUUAAGUAUCACAAAAAAGGUAGAAAACAGUGAUAUGAUGGUGUAUAUCUAUGAUGUAAUAUUUUAAGACUGAAAAUAAGAGAACUGUAAAAAAAAUUGUACCAUAUUUAUAUUUGAUGCUUAAUUUCUUUAAAUUGAGUUCAUAUAAAAUAUAUUCUGAACUUCAUCCUUUUAAAGUGAAUAAUCAGAGUAGAAGUGAUAUGAAUUAUAGCCAAACUUUUCAUAAAAGAAAAAAAAUACUACCAACUCAUUCUAAAGAAAUAUUGAAUAGAAUCAUCUGCCUCCCAAAGGACCUACAAGUGGACUGCAAAAUCAGUAACAAAGCUGUGACUCAAAAUACCGUAGCGAAGCAGCCUCUUUAAGGGUCACUGGUUCCUGGGGGUAGAAUCCACUCACUAGCAAGCAGCAGAGGAAGCUAUGGGCAAGCUGUGGGAGCUCCCAGGAGGGAAGGAAAAGGUAAGCAGUGGGGCUGGAGGGAGAGACGCUGAGGCUGCUCCAGGGAUCUCAGGAGUAGGAAAGCUUCCCAGUGGGAAUGAAGCUGUUCCAACUGUUUUAAGAGUCUCUUAAGAGAAAACAUCUUAAUUGGCUUAGUGUGGGUCAUGCAAGGGAUGCCUGGACUGCACUGCACCCAGGCUGCGUGGAGAGGUGGCAGCCUAGAAGGAAGAGGGGCCUGUGAGGCCAAGUCCACAAUGCCUGCCCCUCCCCACCCGCAGUAGGGGCCCCACGCAGCCCGUCACGUACAUAGCAGCUGCGCAGCCAGUGGUUUGAAUGGAUGAGACAGUUUGGAGAUGAGUCUUGGUUUUUGGGGCCCCAGAAGGACCGCUGGAAGGGCUCCAAGAGGCUGAUGGGGGUGAAAGGGCUUUGGCGAGCCAGGAAGUGCCCCAGGUUAUCCACCUGAGCCCUCACACUUCUAGGUAAGUCCGGGCCCCAGGAGUGCCGGGUAAACUAUGCCAAGCUGAGAACUGAAGGCGGUCUCCCAACUCCCAGACCAGGGCUCCUGCCACUCCACCCUCACCAAGGCUGCCUCCAGAGGACACCUUCCGGAAGCCUCUAGUGAGCCCAUGGCAGGGGGGCAGGUAGGAGGGCAUGCCUGGCUGCUGCAGAAACUGGGGAGCCAACACCUGGACCCAGGGGGCUAGUUAGCCCUCCAGAGCUCCCGGGUGCCAUUUUCUUGUCCUUCCUUCCCAUCUUAAGAAUGCUCAAGGGGCCCUGCCAGACAGCUGGGCGCCUACUUCAGUGGGAGGGAGUAAGGAGUGGCGGUGAGCUGGCCCCGAGCCAGACCAGAAGCACCUUCUUGCUUCCAGCCGCCCCUCACCUAGGACACCGGGUAUCAGAGCCCACUGCCCAAUCUCACCAGCCGGAUUUAGCCUCAAAAAAUGAGCAGUAUUGGCUUCUGUGGAAGACUACGGAAGGCAGAGUCAGCGAUGGCCUGGCAUAUUCCGCAAGUCACAAUUUGUUUCAAAUGUUUAGGUCACAUGAUUACACAGCUAAUAAAAACAACCGACUCAGCAUUCCAGAAGAAGAACAUCAAAAAACUUCAACAAAGAUCCUG